GCAAACAGAGAGCUGAGUUGGGAAGGAAGUCAGUGAAACCGAGAGAGAGAGUUUGGAGUCAGAGGGAAAAAGAGAAAUUGAGAGAAUAAUAAGAGAGAGGCAGAAUUGAGAGAUCGAGAGAAAGUGGCCCAAAAGCAGAUCAAGAAGGAGGGAAACCCGGGUGAUGAACCCAGACCCACGUCCGUGGAUCAGUAAACAGGCCGGCAGUGAAGAACCGUAACAGCAUCCCGGCAACCCGAUCAACAGGAACCCAAUCUGACCCAGCCCAGACUUCGGCGAACCCAGCAAACCGUGUGUAGUCCAGCCCACCCAGCAACCCGUGGCCGGUCCUCUACCAUGGACUUCAACCUAGCCAACCGAACCUGCCAAACCCAGCAAUAUCAGCCCACGGCAACCCAGAACCCGGCAUGCCCAGCCACAUCCUCCAACCCAGCCAACCCGAUCCAGAACCGUGAACUGAACCACUCAAUGAAACCCCGGCGUGCAGCUCUGACCGUGGAGCCGUAACCCAGCUGACCCAGAAUCCGUGGACUCCAAUCCAGCCCAAACAACAAACCGUAGCAGCAAAGCCGUGACCCUGACCCUGCAGACCACAACCCGACGAACCCGUGAGCCAUCCAGCCUAGAUUCGCCAAGCCCGACCCUCCGGCGUCAACCCAGAGGCUUCUCCGACGAAGUUCUGGCAGUGAACCGUGCCGCACCAGAUUUCCAGCAACCCACACGACCCGAGCCUUCUUUCCUUUUUUAUUUUUCUGUGAUUCUUCUUUGUUUCUCCUUAUCUGGCCGAAUCAGAACAAUGAUUCAAAAGUGAGAAUUUGUGAAGAGCUGACCAGAUAUAGGAGAUCCAGCAUAGAGGUGACCCAGUUCUGACCUGCAAGCCCAACCCGAGGCCCAAAACCCGUAGUCCAACCCGGUAGGCCAUCAACCUAUGAAGACCAUGACACUGUGGACCUGAUUUCAGCCCAUUUAUUUGAACCACAGCCCAAAACCAAUCUGGCAGACCAUGUGUACAGCCCAGAUUCAUUGAGCCCAACCCUUGAAGCAAAACCCAAAGCCCGAAGCCCAAACCCGGAUCCAACCCUUUUGGUUGUGCAACCCGGACAACCCAUAACCCGAAGACCCGACCCGGAUCCAAACCAAUGACCCGGAACCCGACCCGCCGGUGACCCAUCUCCGGCGACUUUUCCGGUGACUUUUCCGGCGACUUCCGGUGAAUUUUUCCGGCGAAUUCCCGAGACCGAACUCAUCGUUUUCACGGAAUUUUCUAGUGAAAAUUCUUAGUUAAUAAACAAAAAAAAUAUACAAAGAGGAUUAAAGCUCGAUCCCGAUAUUAUGGGAAAUCCAAGUUAUGAACAGAGAGACGUAGGUGGCCGGGAUGGGAUCUAGGAAUGCAUUAGGACAUUUCAUUUAUAUUACCCCAUAAUUUUCAGUUAUUGUAUUUUUACAAUUAAAUGACCGUUUCCGCAUUUAUUAAAAACUCUGAGAUUUUGAAACCAUUAUUAUUUUUAUUUAUUUAAAUCAGCAUACUAGUUAAGAUA